CAAGUCGAACGAUUAAACUUUCCUUCGGGAAAGAUAUAAAGUGGCGCACGGGUGAGUAACACGUAAGUAAUCUACCUUCGAGUGGGGAAUAACGUCCGGAAACGGACGCUAAUACCGCAUAAUGCAGCGGCAUCUAAUGAUGACAGUUGUUAAAGAUUUAUCGCUUGAAGAGGAGCUUGCGGCAGAUUAGCUAGUUGGUAAGGUAACGGCUUACCAAGGCUACGAUCUGUAACCGGUCUAAGAGGACGGUCGGUCACACUGACACUGAAUAACGGGUCAGACUCCUACGGGAGGCAGCAGUCGGGAAUUUUGGGCAAUGGGCGAAAGCCUGACCCAGCAACGCCGCGUGAAGGAUGAAGUAUUUCGGUAUGUAAACUUCGAAAGAAUGGGAAGAAUCAAUGACGGUACCAUUUAUAAGCUCCGGCUAACUACGUGCCAGCAGCCGCGGUAAUACGUAGGGAGCAAGCGUUGUUCGGAUUUACUGGGCGUAAAGGGCGCGUAGGCGGCAAUUCAAGUCAGCUGUGAAAUCUCCGGGCUUAACUCGGAACGGUCAGCUGAUACUGCUUUGCUAGAGUGCGGAAGGGGCAAUCGGAAUUCUCGGUGUAGCGGUGAAAUGCGUAGAUAUCGAGAGGAACACCUGAGGUGAAGACGGGUUGCUGGGCCGACACUGACGCUGACAGCGCGAAAGCCAGGGGAGCAAACGGGAUUAGAUACCCCGGUAGUCCUGGCCCUAAACGAUGAAUACUUGGUGUCUGGAGUUAUUAGUGCUCCGGGUGCCGUCGCUAACGUUUUUAGUAUCCCGCCUGGGGAGUACGCUCGCAAGAGUGAAACUCAAAGGAAUUGACGGGGACCC
rnacentral:rRNA from 1 species